GAUGAACGCUGGCGGCGUGCCUAAUACAUGCAAGUCGAGCGAACUGAUUAGAAGCUUGCUUCUAUGACGUUAGCGGCGGACGGGUGAGUAACACGUGGGCAACCUGCCUGUAAGACUGGGAUAACUUCGGGAAACCGAAGCUAAUACCGGAUAGGAUCUUCUCCUUCAUGGGAGAUGAUUGAAAGAUGGUUUCGGCUAUCACUUACAGAUGGGCCCGCGGUGCAUUAGCUAGUUGGUGAGGUAACGGCUCACCAAGGCAACGAUGCAUAGCCGACCUGGAGGGGGUAUCGGCCCCACUGGUACUGAGACACGGCCCAGACUCCUACGGGAGGCAGCAGUAGUGAAUCUUCCGCAAUGGACGAAAGUCUGACGGAGCAACGCCGCUUGAGUGAUGAAGGCUUUCGGGUCGUAAAACUCUGUUGUUAGGGAAGAACAAGUACGAGAGUAACUGCUCGUACCUUGACGGUACCUAACCAGAAAGCCACGGCUAACUACGUGCCAGCCGCCGCCGUAACAC
rnacentral:rRNA from 1 species